rnacentral:lncRNA from 1 species
CGCCCCCUUAAGACACCCAGUAAUCACCCACUCUGCAAUUAACCUGUCGGAAUGUAGCUAGCUACAUGCUAAUAAAGAGGGAAAGAGGGUGAAGGAGAAAUUCCUAAGAGAUAUGCAGGCAUAAAAAGUACAGAUUUAACUGCCAUACAGCCUUCCUGGGGUGAUGGUAAUGAGCAAUGUAGCCAUUAGGUAGAAUUUGUGUCCAACACAAGGUCCACACAUGCACGCCAACUAAUAGACAGAAUCCCACAAAUCUGAGGCAGGAACUAGGCAGGGAAAAGGCAAGGACUUAAGGCAGCAGCAGGAAAAACUAGAUGAAGGAAAAAGGUGGAGACUUAACACAGAGAUGAGAACUUCAAGAAAAAAUCCGUCAUAAAAACCCAAUGCAGAACUCUUGAGGCUACUGCUGGCUCAUUCUCUGUUAGUAGCCCACUGUGCCUCAUCUUUUGGAGUGUACUGUCUGUCUAAAUAAACUCUGUGCUCUAAUUUUGCUUCAAUAAAUUCUCUUUUUGGGCUAAGUGGUCUCUUGGUAGGAUUCUUUCUUACAAGUAAGCCUAAGAACAGAGGACUCUGCUCUUCCCAGUAACAAAAUCACAUUAAUUAUUUCCAUGAACUUGUCACCCAGGAGUAUCUGGCUUCCCAUCCCUGACACCUUUUAAUCUCUCAAAAAACAUUUGUCUGGGGUUAUUCUACUCUUUUAAUACUCCUAUUAAACUCUACUAUUAAAAAAACCAAACUUAUUCAUUUCAUGCGCGUCCGUGUGAAGAGACCACCAAACAGGCUUUGUGUGAGCAACGUGGCUGUUUAUUUCACCUGGGUGCAGGCGGGCUGAGUCCGAAAAGAGAGUCAGCGAAGGGAGAUAAGGGUGGGGCCGUUUUAUAGGAUUUGGGUAGGUAAAGGAAAAUUACAGUCAAAGAGGGUUUGUUCUCUGGCAGGCAGGAGUGGGGGUUGCAAGGUGCUCAGUGGGGGUGAUUUUUGAGCCAGGAUGAGCCAGGAAAAGGACUUUCACAAGGUAAUGUCAUCACUUAAAGCAAGGACCGGCCAUUUACACUUCUUUUGUGGUGGAAGGUCAUCAGUUAAGGUGGGGCAGAGCAUAUUCACUUCUUUUGUGAUUCUUCAGUUACUUCAGGCCAUCUGGGCAUAUACGUGCAAGUCACAGGGGAUGCGAUGGCUUGGCUUGGGCUCAGAGGCCUGACAUUCCUGCCGUCUUAUAUUAAUAAGAAAAAUAAAACAAAAUAGUGUUGAAGUGUUGGGGUGGCAAAAAUUUUUGGGGGGUGAUAUGGAGAGAGAAUGGGCGAUGUUUCUCAGGGCUGCUUCGAGCGGGAUUAGGGGCGGCGUGGGAACCUAGAGUGGGAGAGAUUAAAAUUUUAGUUUCCUGACUUGGGACAUGUUGAAUAAAGCUAAUUUGCCAGUCCUGGGUGGGGGCAAAUCCUCGAGCUUGAUGUGUAAGGAAGGGAGGGGGCCUGAAUAAUCCCUGAGGAAUAGUAGAACAGCAGAUGGAACACUGAGAAAUUAUUUCCUUGAGGAUAGAUUUCCACGAUGGAAAGGAAAUGAGAGGUUCUGAGAGGCAGGCUAGUGGCUUGUACUAUAGCAUAGCCUGCCUUUGCUGGUGUGUGGCGAUUAGGCCUGGUGGAACCACCAUCAAUAAAUCAAGCGUGAUCGGGGUGAGGAACAGGAAAGAAGGAAAUAUGGGGAAAUGGGGUGAAUGUCAGGUGGAUCAGAGAGAUAGUCAUGGGGGUCAGGUGUGGUAUCAGGAAUAAUGUGGGAGGCCAGAUUGAAGUCUGGGCCAGGAACAACGGUAAUUGUGGGAGACUCAACAAGGAGUGAGUACAGCUGAAGGAGCCGGGAAGCAGAAAGUAUAUGUGUCAGGUAUGAGGAAGAAAAUAGAUUUUGGAAGUUAUGAGAACUGUAGAGAGUGAGUUGAGCAUAGUUUGUGAUUUUGAGGGCCUCUAAAAGUAUUAAAGCAGCGGCAGCCGCUGCACGCAGACAUGAGGGCUAGGCUAAAACAGUAAGGUCAAGUUGUUUGGACAGAAAGGCUACAGAGUGUGGUCCUGGCUCUUGUGUAAGAAUUCUGACCACGCUAACCAUGCCUAGGAAGGAAAGGAGUUGUUGUUUUGUAGAAGGUGCUGGGGUUUGAGAGAUCAGUCGGACACGAUUGGCAGGGAGAGCACGUAUGUUUUUAUGAGAAUUAUGCCGAGAUAGGUAACAGAUGAGGAAGAAAUUUGGGCUUGAUUGAAGUAAUGGGGGCUGUCUGUGAAGCUUUGCGGCAGUACAGCCUAGGUAAUUUGCUGAGCUUGAUGGGUGUCAGGGUCAGUCCAAGUGAAAGCGAAGAGAGGCUGGGAUUAAAGGUGCAAAGGAAUAGUAAAGAAAGCAUGUUUGAGAUCUAGAACAGAAUAAUGGGUUGUAGAGGCAGGUAUUGAGGAUAGGAGAGUAUAUGGGUUUGGCAGCAUGGGGUGGAUAGGCAAAACAAUUUGGUUGAUAAGGCGCAGAUCCUGAACUAACUUGUAAGGGUUGUCUGGUUUUAGGACAGGUAAAAUGGGGGAAUUGUAAGGAGAGUUUAUAGGCUUUAAAAGGCCAUACUGUAGCAGGCGAGUGAUAACAGGCUUUAAUCUUUUUAAAGCGUGCUGCGGGAUGGGAUAUUGGCGUUGAGUGGGGUAAGGGUGAUUAGGUUUUAAUGAGAUGGUAAGGGGUGCAUGAUUGGUCGCCAAGGAGGGAGUAGAGGUAUCUUAUACUUGUGGGUUAAGGUGGGGGGAUAGAAGAGGAGGACGCAAAGGAGGCUUUGGAUUGGGAAGAAGGGCGGCAAUGAGAUAUAGCUGUAGUCCAGGAUAGUCAGGGAAGCAGAUAAUUUAGUUAAAGUGUCUCAGCCUAAUAAGGGAACUGGGCAGGUGGGGAUAACUAAAAAGGAGUGCUUAAAAGAGUAUUGUCUAAGUUGGCACCAGAGUUGGGGAGUUUUAAGAGGUUUAGAAGCCUGGCCGUCAAUACCCACAACAGUUAUGGAGGCAAGGGAAACAGGCCCUUGAAAAGAAGGUAAUGGGGAGUGAGUAGCCUCCGUAUUGAUUAAGAAGGGGACGGGCUUACCUUCCACUGUGAGAGUUACCCGAAGCUCGGCAUCCGUGAUGGUCUAGGGGGCUCACGAGGCGAUCGGGCAGUGUCAGUCUUCAGCCACUAAGCCGAGAAGAUCUGGGAAGGAGUCAGUCAGAGAGCCUUGGGCCAGAGUUCCAGGGCCUCUGGGAGUGGCUGCCAGGAAGAACACCAUGUGAACAUGAAGACAACCACCUACAAGCCAAAGAGAGAGGCCUCAGAGGAAACAACCAUGCUAACAUCUUCUUAUACUCUAGCCCCAAGAAAUGUGAGAAAAUAAAUUUCUGUUGUUUAAGCCAUUCUGUUCAAUCUGUGGUAGUUUGUUAUUGCAGCCUUAGCAGAUUAAUACAGUGAUAAAAGCAAAAACUGUAUCAAUAUAUAUAGCAGUGGCUUUCAAAUUUUCAAUAUAUAUAUAGCAGUGGCUUUCAAAAUUUCAAAUUUUUCACAAUCUACAAUAUGAAAUUAAUUUUACCACUCUACCCAGUAUGCAUAGACAGACAUAGCUGGAACAAAGAACAAAAUUUUUUCUUGCUAAUGUAUGUUGAUAUUUUUACUUGUUUGAUUGUAUUCCAUCAUUUCAUAUUAAGAAAGACACAAUAACUGAUUUUGCAACUGAUGAACUGGCCAAAUGUUAAAAAAUGCUAGAUAAGAAAUACUAUUAUUUGUUAAAACAACAACAAAGGCCCCAGCAAACUAGAUUCUUUGGAUAGAGGCAGAAGGGGCAUUUGUGAGCAUCUAUUUUUUAACUUUUUUUUUUUCCAAAAUAAAAUCUUAUGAGAAAAUCCAAUGUAUCAAACAGAUAAAUGCUGAGUUACUUUGGUAGACAGUGGUGGGGAGAGAAGUGGAGCCUUCCUACUUAUCCCUGACAGCCCUGAUGCAGCUCAACAGCACCAAUGGCUCUUGGGUACAGGACUUAAAAACCAAAUAUUUAUUCCACUCCUCUCAUUAUUUAGAAAGGGGGACAUUGGGGUAAGGGACAAAGCUGUUAGGAGGGCCAGGUGCAGUGGCCCAUACCUGUAAUCCCAACACUUUGGGAGGCUGAGGUGAGAGGAUCACUUGAGCCCAGGAGUUCUAGAUCAGCCUGGGCAACAUAGAAGACCCUGUCUCUAUAAAAAUUUUUUUUAAAUUUAAAAAAUUUGAAAGAUGUUAGGUGAUAUGGUUUGUGUCCCCACCCAAAUCUCAUCUUGAAUAGUAGCUCCCAUAAUUCCCACAUGUGUGGGAGGGACCAGGUAGGAGGUAAUUGAAUCGUGGGGACAGUUUGCCCCAUACUGUUCUUGUGAUAGUGACUAAGUCUCACAAGUUCUGAUGAUUUUUAUAGGGAGUUUCCCCUUUUGCUUGGCUCUCAUUUCUUCCUUGCUUGCUGCCAUGUAAGACAUACCUUUUCUCCUUCUGUGAUGAUUGUGAGGCCUCCCCACCCAUGUGGAACUGUGAGUCCAUUAAACCUCUUUUUCUUUAUAAAUUACCCAGUCUCGGGUAUGUCUUUAUCAGCAGCGUGAAAACAGACUAAUACAUUAGGAGAUUGAGAUUGCAAGUUCUAAGCGAGGAUUGUAUAGAUAUAGAUGUACCAUCAUUCUUCAAUAAUUGGGGAAGUGAGAAUCUCAAAUAUAAAAGAGGUCCAUCAAUAACAUCCAUCUCUUCUUUCCAUUAAAAUAAGAAAUAUAAAAGUAGAAAUAAUGCUUGGUAAAUGUGACACAUCUCCAGUAGGCUCAUAUACUAACUUAAAUCUUGUGCUGUUCCAUUGCCCUCUGCUGGAUGUUCUUAGUAUCUGUGGCCUCAAAACUAGAAGUUCUAGUAGUGGUAGUAGUCACAGCAAUAGUGAUUAUUAUCAUUAUUGUCAUUUUAGCAGCAGCCAUGUUGAGGUCAAGCACUGUGCCACAUGCUUUACAUCCAAAUCCUCCUAACAACUCUAUGGCUAGAUAAUGCUCUCUCAUUUUGUAGAUGUGGAACCUGGGGGUUCAGAGGUAAAUAAACAAACCAAGGUUACACAACUAAAAGUAAGAGACCCGGGAAUUAAAUAUUGGUUCUAAAGCCUAGGCCUUAAUUACUUGCUGUUCAUUAAACUUUCAAUCUGUCAGCUGUGUUGGUGAUAAAACUGGAAUGAUAUUACUAGUUGGGAUCUUUUGAUUCACUGAUUAUUAACAAUGGAAUCACAACGAUCUUUAUUCUAAAAAGCCAAAAAUUAUUAUCUUCCUAAAAUUACCAAAAAGGAAAAGCUUACUCCUCAACAGAGCAGGAGAGCAUGUUUUCAGAGUUUCUCAAAGUGUGAUUCAGGAAACUCCUGCAUUGGAAUCACAUGAGGUGCUACUUCAGGGCAGAAAAUCCUAUGCACCAGGAUGUAUUUUGGAGGUAGAGAGGACAGAGCUUGUUCCUGAGAGCUGGGAUAUGUGUUAGUGGAGUGAGUGUAGAGAGAAAGAGGAACAAAAGAUGGCUCCUAAAAUUUUUGGCUCAGGACAAAUUUUGAGGAGAGUAGUGGCAUUAACUGAGAUGAGAAAGAUUAUUAGAGGAGCAAGGGUUUUAAUUGUUAGUUCAGUUGUGGCAGUUACUUUUUUGGCAGCAGAUAUAAAACCAGGAGUUUGGGUUUAGAUAUUAUAUUUAUGUUGCCAUAUAGGUAACCAAAUAAAAAUGGUAGAGCUAACUACAAAUAACUUUUAAAAAUUCAGAUCUAUAUUUAAGAUCUAUUCAUGUUGUUUCACGUGUAUCUCUUUCUAAUUGCUGCAUAAUCCUUUGUAAGUCUAUCAGUAGUAAGAGACCAGAUUACUUCCAACUCCCGCCACCACAACCAACACAGCAGUGAGCAUCCUCCUAUACAAUCCUUUAAGGUCCUCUGCAUGUAUUCUUUUGUGGUAUAAACUCAGGAGUGAGGUAUACUCAAUUGGAUUCGAUACUGCCAGGUUACUCCCUAAAAUGGCUGUGCUGGUCUAUACCCUAUCAGCAGUGCACAAGAGUUCCUCUACCUUCACAUUUCUUUGAAUGCUAAUAACUAUCCAGCCUAAUUUUUCACUAGAUAAAGAGGCAUCUUAUUGUUUUAAUACAUAUCUCUCUGAUAAGUUUGAGUAUCUUUACACACUCGUUGGACUUUUGGGUUUCUGUAAAUUGCCUAUUAAUAUUUCAUUGUUUUUCUUUCUUUGCCAUGUGAUAACUACAUAUUUAUGGGAUAUAUAGUAGUAUUUCAAUAUAUGUAUACAAUGUGUAAUGAUCAAGUCAGGGUAAUUAAGCAUAUUCAUUAUCUCAAACAUUUAUGAUGUGAACAUUCAAAAUAAAAAUCCUCUCUUCUAGCUUUUUAAAAAAUACACAAUAUUUCCCUUACAGUGCUACAGAACACUAGAACUUAUUCCUCCUCUUUAGCUAUAAUUUCGUAUCUGUUAACGAACUUCUCCGUAUCCUCUCCUCCCCACUACUCUUCCUUCCCCACUACUCUUCCUUCCCCACUACCCUUCCCAGACUCUAAAAACCACAAUUAUACUCUCUAUGAGCUCUUUUUUGUUUUUUUGGCUCCUACAUAUGAGUGAGAACAUGUGGUGUUUAUCCUUCUGAGCCAUCUUAUUUCAGUUAACAUGCCCUCCAGGUUCAUCCAUGUUGCCACAAAUUAGAAGAUUUCAUUCUUUUUUAUGGCCAAGUAGAAUUCCAUUUUGUGUAUAUACACCACCUUAUCCAUUCAUCUUUUGAUGGACAUUUCAUAUCUUGACUAUUUUUAACAGUGCUACAAUAAACAUGAAGGUGCAGGAAUCUCUCUGAUACAUAGAUUUUCUUUCCUCCGGAUAAAUACCCAGUAGUGAGAUUGCUGGACUUUCUUAGCACUCAUGUUAAAAAUCAUUUGAACAUAUAGGUGAGAAGUUAUUCCUGGGCUCAAAAACAAACAAACAACAACAGACAACAGAUAAGGAUACAGCAUGGGCCGGGCACGGUUGCUCACGCCUGUAAUCCCAGCACUUUGUGAGGCUGAGGUGCGUGGAUCACCUGAGGUCAAGGGUUCAAGACCAGCCUGACCGACAGGGAGAAACCCCCGUCUCUACUAAAAAUACAACAUUAACUGGGCGUGCUAGCGCAUGCCUGUAAUCCCAGCUACUCAGGAGGUGGAGGCAGGAGAAUCGCUUGAACCCAGGACGCAGAGGUUGCAGUGAGCCAAGAUCGCACCAUUACACUCCAGCCUGGGCAACAAGAGUGAAACUCUGUCUCAAAAAAACAAAAACAAAAAACCAGCAUGAUUUCAGGAGCAGAAAGAGAAUAACUUAAAAACCAGCAUAAUGAGAAAGUUAGGAAGCUUCUUACCAAAGCAUCUGGAAGUAUGCAAGAAAUUCUUGUGAACUAAAAUUUUCGUGCUGUACUAGCAAACACUACAACUCACUUAUUCCAUCUUUCUGUAUUUUGGGACCCAAUUAUCCACUUCUCUUCAUUCCCUAUCCCACCCCUUUUCUUCCUAGCGUCUGCUAACCACCUUUAUACUCUCCACCUUCCUGAGAUUCCUUUUGUGUGUAUGUGUGUGAUGGAGUCUCUUUCUGUUGCCCAGGUUGGAGUAUACAGGCACAAUCCGGGCUCACUGCAACCUCUGCCUCCAGAGUUCAAGGGAUUCUUGGGCCUCAGCCUCCCGAGUAGCUGAGACUACAGGCACGCGUCACCACGCAUGGCUAAUUUUUUGUGUUUUUAGUAGAGACGGGGUUUCACCAUGUUGGUCAGGCUGGUCUCGAACUCCUGGCCUCAAGUGAUCCGUGCAACUCGGCCUCCCAAAGUGCUGGGAUUACAGGCCUGAGCCACCACACCUGGCCAAGAUUUUCUUUUUUGUUCCUACAUGUAAGUGAGGACAUGUAAUAUUUGUCAUUCUGUUCCUGGCUUAUUUCACUUAAUAUACAGACCUGAAAUCUCAUCCAUUUUUUCUGCAGUGGAGAGGAUUUUAGUCCUUUUUAGGCUGAAUAAUACUUCAUUGUAUGUGUAUACCAGUUUAAUUGACACAAAUUUCUAAAAAGCAAAUAUUUUUAAAAUGUCUCAGAAUGUGAAACUUUAGGGAUACUGUGCCCAUUUUAUUCUUUUCUAUUUCCCAUUUUAUGGAUAUGCAAGUGUAUAAUAAAACAGCAAUCAAUGGGUGUAUAAAUCUAUAACUUCAACAAAUGUAAAAUGAAAAUGCUAAGUGGUGGCUGGGCGCUGUUGCUCACACCUGUAAUCCCAGCACUUUGGGAGGCCGAAGCGGGCGGAUCACCUGAGGUCGGGAGUUCAAGACCAGUCUGACCAACAUGGAGAAACAGUCUGUACUAAAAAAAAAAAAAAAAAAAAAAAACAAAGUAGCUGGGUGUGAUAGUGCAUGCCUGUAAUCCCAGCUACUUGAAAGGCUAAGAGAGGAGAAUCGCUUGAAUACGGGAGGCAGAGGUUGCAGUAAGCCGAUAUCAUGCCAUUGCACUCCAGCCUGGGCAACAACAGUGAAACUCUGUCUCAAAAAAAAAAAAAAAGAAAAAAGAAAAAAGAAAAAAAGAAAAUGCCAAAUGGUAAGAAAAAACAGCAUAAUAAAAAUUUGUAUGGUGUUGAAGAACAAUGCAUUUGAAGAUAAUAUUUGAAGAAAUCAUAUUACAAUUAACUUCUGUUCUUACUCAUUGGUUUGAUGCCUCUAAAAACUUCAUCACUGGAACCACCUCUGGUGCUUUAAAAAAAAAAAAAAAAAAAAAAAAAAAAAUCCGCAUACCCACACAGGUGCAAGUAAAUCAGAAUCUCAGGUCAUGAGACCCAGGCCUCAUCAUUUGUAAGUGCCCCGGGUGAUUUGAUUCAAAGCCAAGAUUGAGGACCCGUGACAUGGAUCUCUACACAUAAUCUGCCUAAAUAGAUUCUCUACAAGCAGUUUAUAAAGAAGUUCCACAUGAACUCUGGAAGAGGAUAUGAAUUUGAUGUACAGUAUGUGCUCACUUAACAUCUUUGAAAGUCUCUUGGAAACUUCACCUUUAAGCAAAAUUAUGGAUAGUGAAACCACUUAUUCCUCAUCAACAUUACAACUAAACAACUUUGAACAAAACAAUGGUGUUGGAGGACCGGCUGUACAUUGUUUCUAUAAAGUCAAUUUUCAGGGAAUUCCAAAAUGAAGUGAGGACUUCCUGUAUAUAAAAAGAUGGUUGUGAUUCCACAUGGAUGACAGGGUUAUUGCUCAGAAACUAAAGGAGGCCGCCCAGGUAUAGAGGAUUCAGUCAUGAGGUUUAUGCUACACAAAAGAUCCCAGAAUACUCACCCAUUCCAGUCAAAGACAUAAUGAAAAAAGCAAUAUUCACAUAGG